UGUAGCCACAUAGAUAGGACGAUCGUUACAGGCAGCGGGCGCAUAACUCAGCUGCUUUCUAGUAAAAAAAAAAAGAAUCCCAGGGACUGCCCCAAAACCCUGCUCUCCUCCAUCUUUCUCCUUCCACCCCCCCGCUCCUUCCCCAGGCAAGGACCAACACCCGCGGCGGCAGAGGGGUGGCAAGCCCCGACUGCAGGGCCGUUGCCACCGGCUGCCCCGACGCCGGCGCGCCCCCGGGGCCCGGGGACCCGCGGGCCAGCUCGCCGCCACAGCGACGCAAUCUGCGCUGAAAAGUUUCAGGCGGGGAGGCACUAGAGUGAAAUGUGCACAAAGAGGCCCAGGGAGCCGUGUUUUCUUAACUACAAUAGCAGGGCUAAUUAGAUCAUAGGAGCGAGUCAGCGAUACUGUAACAAGUAGCUAAACAACACCGGCGGGGAGAGGAGGAAGAGAAAGUUUGCACCUUCGGCACUCACCGAUCAGACCUCCCACCAGAAAGGCGAUGACUUGGAAAACCAGCAGGAUCCCCCCGACAAUGCACAGCUUUUUGGUGCUCAUGUUCUCGAUGAUGGCCCCGGCCAUCUUCGCCCGGCGCUAGCCCCCCGCUCCCCGGCCGGGGGGCCGGGGGGGGAGGAGGGAGGGCCGGCUGCGCACUGAUUGCCCGGGCCGCCGGGAGCCGGCUCCCCCGCCGCCGCCGCCAGCCGUGAUUGUGGCCGCCGCUCGGCUGCAUGUGGCCGCUUUAAAGGAGCUGGCGGCGGGUCACAUGACGCCGCCUCCGCCGCCCCUCCCCGCUCCCGCAGCCCCGCCGCCGGGCCCGGCCCCGGCCCCGCUUCCCCCCGGGCCGGCCCCAGCAGGGGCCGGGGCCGCACCCCCGCCCCCGGGCACCGCUGCGGCGCGGCCGCCCCCGCGGCUCGGCGGGCGGCAGCCCCGGGGCGGGGUGCGCGGGAGGCAGGGAGCGGCAGCGGCCCCCCCCCCCCCCCCGCCCCCGGCUCCUAGCUGCGCGGCAGGUGAGCCCCUCGGCUGCUUCGCACCUCCCCAAAGGUUUAUGCAACUCCUUCCUCAGGAGCAAUUUAGCCAGGACGCGAGGAGCGGGCGCCCCGCUUUCCCGGCGCCGCAGCCGAAACGCGCUGUGACCCGGGCGCUCUCGCGCCGCCGGGGCGCCGCUUUGUCCUCCCCUUAGCGCUGCUCUGAUUUAUCUCGGUGGGUCACGCUACGCGGCUUUCCUGAGUUCUGCUACCCCUCGUGUGCCUCCAAAUCCCAGAGGAGGGUCGGAGCGCUCGGCAGCGCGGAUGCCGUGUGCCAGCCCCGCUCCCUGGAAGACGCUUCCGUCCCGCCACCCGCGCGUUCCUGUACGUGACCCAGAAUGAGUUCACUACCCCCUGCCAUCACCUCUCGUUUUUAGCAUUAGUGCCUUCCGGCUAUUCACGGGAUACCACAAGGGUCCGUGCGGCGCUGCCCUGUCAGACGUGCGGUGAAGAACACGGAAUGCCGUCGUGUGCAACUGGAACUAGGUGGGGAGUUGCUGAAAACACUCCUUGACGGCAAAUAAGCCACGGAAGGAAACAACUGGUGACAAAAAUACGGACAGGAACUUUCAAAAUGAAAGAUGGGUCAAAUACUUAGAGGCACAAACAAAUAAUAAUCUGAAGCAAAGAGUCAGUGACAAGAAAAAAUAAAGAAGAAACAAAUGCAAAAAAAAAAAAAAACCCAACAGAAGUCAGAGUAAGAUGGCCGAAGUGCUGGCAAUGCAAUGUGGUAGCCCUGUGGCUGCGCCUGCCGGGCUCCCAGCGAUGUCUUUGGUUUGUUCAGGAUACAGACGACACCUGUGUGCUUAUUUGCCUUGCCUUGCCUAGCCUAACGGGAGCUUUGUGCGUUACAAUGAUGCGGGUAGCAGCAUCAAAGAUGGGUCUCGAAAUUCAAGGACAAGUAGAGAAGCAGAAGGCAUAGGGUUUGAUUUGUAAGGAAAGACUAUGGGAAGCGUUAUCCAGACCUUGGCCAUACAGUAUAUAGUCAACACAAGGAGGUGAGCACAAGAACUGUAUGUACUUAAUGUUUGGCAGAGAGGUGUUUAGGAAGAGGUCCCCUUCAGAAAGGGGGAGGGUAUGUGCCCCUGCCCAAGAUCAGCCCUCAGUCACCGCCACAAACUCAUUUUCUUUGCACCCUUUCCAUGACCAGAAGAAGGACCACAGCUGGCAACCCAAGCCUUCCACAGCAAAGUCAGCAGAUUCCUCUCCCGAGGCUGGAACCCGGCCCUCCGGGUUCAGUGCGUUCAAAGGAGCAUUUAUUAAAUGCAUCAGACCCCAAGGGUGCCAGAGACACGCCAAGAUAUAAUGCUGGAGGCCAGCCAACGAUAUGAUGAGGUAUUUCGGAUGAUGUAAUAAGAUACGAUACUACGAUCAAGAUCCUGGAUACAACAGAAAACAUCUGAAAAUGAUGGCAGGAGUGAUUCCUGAAUGCUUAUCCUGAUUUUCCAACACUAAAUCUUUGGCUUCCAAAGUUGGUCUUGAAAAACUAAAUGAAACCAAGCUCAGGUGCUGCUUUUGUGUUUUACUUUUGUGAUCUUUUCUUGAUUUGCAGAGCUAACAAGGUCUUUUCCUUCGACCAUCAGGCUAAUACUAGAAGUUGGAAUAUAGGCAUCAGGGAUAACUUUAGAUAACUUGUGACUGUGGGACAGUUUAAUCUUCUAGAAUAUUGCAAGCUUAAUGUUUAGUUUUAGCUUUACUGUUACAUUACAGUUAUGACUUCAUCUUUAAAAAUAGCUCUUAAUAGUCGACUCCUGCGUACCCAUUAUGAACCCACUAGGAUCAUUCACACAGAGGUGCUUCCAAAAUCAAAGCCUGUUGGUGGCUUUUUGCCAAGACAAUUAAAGACUUAAAAUACCAAACACUUUAUACUGAAAUUAAAAAAAGAAAUACCCACAUAGAGCAAUUGCUAUUAAAUUGUUAAUAAAAAGGCUUGUUUUGAAGUAUCUAAUAGCAAUCUAACACUUGAUUCCAAGUGACAACUUUUGCUAUUUUCUCUGUGGGAAAUGGCACAAGCUUUUCAAUAACAUUGGUUCCCUUACCGUCUGCAAUCACUGCUGACUAGGAGAGAGUCUUACAAGUCCAGGCCACCUUUUGAGGUCCCACAGUUAUCCGAAUGCAAGGACCUAUGUGAUCUUUGGAGCCAUAAGUUCCACUAAAUCAAAUUUAUCUUAGUGACUCUACAAAAGUUAAAUGGUGCAGUCUUCAUUAAAUGUCCCAUUUGUUCCAAUCAAUUCAUUUCUGGGACAAAAGUGUAAGAGGCAGAGCUAAGAUCCUGCCAUAAUUAAAUUAAAAAAAAAACACCUUAAGUGAAAAAAGUAAAAUAUCAAAAAACACAGGAAACAAUACUUCACAUUUAUAAAGCACUUUCCAUCUCUACCACAUUCCUACAUAUUUAAUGCUGCAAAGUUUAGAGAUAUUAAUAACAUGUGACUUUUGACACGCAUCCAAAGGGCGUAUAGAGCACAUACCGUAGUAUGUGUUGGGACCUCUCUUUUGCCAGAAAGUGACCACACAGAGAAUCACACAAGAGAGAAAAUGGCCCAAACCAUAUGAGAAAGUACACCUCUAGCCACCACUUCUCCUUUUCAGCUGCUUACAAAUUACAGUUUGUAUCUCUGUAAGGUCUCCAGAAUCAAUCAUCUGGGAAUUCAACUACUUGCCACUUAUUACAUUAUUUUUUUUCCUGACUGCUUUAGGCUGUUUUGAAAGACUCGGCUAUUAAAAUAGCUAUCCUACAGUCAGCCCCAGGCAGGAGGAGGAGUCUUUCCACAGAGAACUCUGCAGGGUUGGGCCUAGAGCCCAGAUUUUCAAAGGGGUUCAGCUGCCUAAAGAUGUAGGUAAGGGCUCAAUGGGGUUUCCACAAGUUCCUAAUUUUUCGUGCUACGUGUCUGUGCUACAAGUUACUGCAAAAGUUUUGAAAAAGCUUUCUUCGGAUGCUCAAUUUGCACAGAGACUAAACUCUCCGAAAGUUUCAGUGUUUUUUCUCCUCUGCCUCACUUCAAUUGGACAGUUAAGAGAAAUAACUUGAGGGAAAAAAAAAAAAGCUAGAAUUCAGAGGUGUUUUCCAAACACAACUGUAAAAGGACAUAUGCUACAAAUACAACUGAAAGGCUUGACAAAGGGGCAUCUAUGAUCUGGAUUAGGAAGUCAAAUUACAUGAUUAUAGUAAUAAUUUCUAGCUUCAGAAAGCUAAAAAAGCCCCACUAAACCAACCCAAACCAUGCCAAAGCCAAAACCCCCACCACAGUUAUUUGGACUUAUGAGUAUUGAGUCCAAUAUUGAGCUGCUUCAUUUUUGCUUUACAGAGGCAAGGUUUGGGGUUUUUUUCAGUAUUAGUAGCAUUGUUGUUUAUACCAGCGCAACAGUGGACUCUGACCCCAUAUGUGAAAUACGAAGCAUAGUAGUGGGCAAAAAGCUGAUUCAAUCACAGUCACCUACCACCAGUGAUAAUCUAUUGAACACUUGUUUGUACUUGUCAACUUUAUUUACAAUAUAGCAUGCAACAUAACAACAGUAGACCUGUGGGGAUUAAGCUUUGGCUCUCGUCUCUGGUUUGUAGGCUGUAUUUUUCAGUGUGGUUACUGGCAUUGCUUGGUGCUAUGACUGCAGUUUCUUGCUUUGUUUGGAAUACACCUAAUGCAUUACAAAGAUACUCCUAGUAAUAAAUAAUCUGUAGUUUGCUGCUAUGGGGAAAAGACAAUUAAAAGCGUUCAAAACUCUG